AUUGAACGCUGGCGGCAUGCUUUACACAUGCAAGUCGAGCGGCAGCGCGGGACUCAGGCAACUGAGCCCUGGCGGCGAGCGGCGAACGGGUGAGGAAUACGAUCGGAACGUGUCCCGUAGUGGGGGAUAGCUCGGCGAAAGCCGGAUUAAUACCGCAUAUGCUCUACGGAGGAAAGCCGGGGAGUCUGUUAAAGGACCUGGCGCUAUGGGAGCGGCCGAUGUCCGAUUAGCUAGUUGGUGAGGUAAAGGCUCACCAAGGCGACGAUCGGUAGCUGGUCUGAGAGGAUGAUCAGCCACACUGGGACUGAGACACGGCCCAGACUCCUACGGGAGGCAGCAGUGGGGAAUUUUGGACAAUGGGGCACCCUGAUCCAGCCAUGCCGCGUGC
rnacentral:rRNA from 1 species